rnacentral:rRNA from 1 species
AGUGAACGUUGGCGGCGUGGAUUAGGCAUGCAAGUCGAGCGAGAACCGUAGCAAUACGGGGACAGCGGCGAAAGGGACAGUAAUGUGUAGGUACCUACCUCCGGGUUCGGGAUAGCUGCGGGAAACUGCAGGUAAUACCGAAUAACGUCUCAGGACCAAGGGUGUGAUUCCACCUGGAGAGGGUCCUGCAUCCUAUUAGCUUGUUGGCGGGGUAACGGCCCACCAAGGCGACGAUGGGUAGCGGGUGUGAGAGCACGAACCGCGUCAUUGGGACUGAGACACUGCCCAGACACCUACGGGUGGCUGCAGUCGUGAAUCUUCGGCAAUGGGCGCAAGCCUGACCGAGCGACGCCGCGUGCGGGAUGAAGGCCUUCGGGUUGUAAACCGCUGUCGUAGAGGAGGAAAUGCAGGGGGGUUCUCCCCUCUGUUUGACCUAUUCUAGGAGGAAGUACGGGCUAAGUUCGUGCCAGCCGCCGCGGUAA